rnacentral:misc_RNA from 1 species
UCACCCCUCAAGCCCCGUGCUUGGUGUUGGACGGCUGGUCGAGCAAUCGCACCCCUCCUAACGAUAACGACGGCGGCCUGUGGUUCCCCCGGUACAAUGAGCUUCUCACCGAGCACGUACCGGACAAGGGCGCCCAGGACCCGGUCUUCUCCUCUCACGAGGAACUAUUUUAUAA